rnacentral:rRNA from 1 species
GUAGGGGCCAAGCGUUAUCCGGAUUUAUUGGGCGUAAAGAGCUCGUAGGCGGCUUGGCAAGUCGGUCGUGAAAGUCCGAGGCUCAACCUCGGAAUGCCGGUCGAAACUGCCAUGGCUAGGGUUCGGUAGAGGAGAGUGGAAUUCUCGGUGUAGCGGUGAAAUGCGCAGAUAUCGAGAGGAACACCAGUAGCGAAGGCGGCUCUCUGGGCCGAUACCGACGCUGAGGAGCGAAAGCGUGGGGAGCAAACAGGGAUUAGAUACCCUGGUAGUCCACGCCGUAAACGGUGAUCACUAGGUGUGGCGGACUCAUUGACGUCUGCUGUGCCGGCGCUAACGCAUUAAGUGAUCCCACCUGGGGAGUACGGCCGCAAGGCUA